AAGUUACCCGUCUUUUGGAGUUGGGCUGUAGCACAGCAGGUUAAGCGCAGGUGGCGCAAAGCACAAGGACCGGCAUAAGGAUCCCGGAUCCUGGUCCGAGCCCUGGCUCCCCACCUGCAAG